CUCUCUCUCACACACACAGAGCUUUUACUUCUGCCAGACAUCAGAUUUGUUUCUACGGUAUUUGACGAGUUACGUGUUGUAUAUAAUCAUGUGUCAUGAUGUGCUUUGCAUUCUUUUGGCGGAGCAUGCACUUUCAAUAUCAAACGUCAUAUCAUAUUCUUGAGGAGCCAAAAUGGUCUUUGUGAUUUACAUACAGCUGUGAAUUCCUCCCGAAUGUUUAUUUUUCAAAGUAGAAUGGACUUCUCAAACCUUUCAUGGGCACGUCUUGGGGUUUUCUGUAUUGAGCCGUUUGGCUUUGCUCACACUGUGUGCUUCUUCUGCCUCGCCUGCUCAGUCGUGACACAGAAACAAAGAUAUUCUACACCGUGAAAACCCAGCUGAUUGACUUUGAUAGCCAACAGCUUAGUUAGUACUGCGGUUUCUUGUUUAGUUUAAAAGAAGAACUUGUCUUGUGUGUAAUAAUAAUAAUGCCAUACAUCCAUAGAUUUGCCACCAGAGGGCGCAUUAUAAAUCGAUGAGAUGAGCGCCGUACUCCAGCUGGGUCCUCCUGGUCGGCCAGUAAUGGGAUCGUUGCUGAGAGCCGUGGUCCUGGUGUCCCGGGUGGUGGUUUCCCUUCUUUCAUGUGUGUGCCGUGCACCCCCUUAUCCUUUUGAUUUCCUGCACGUGUGAUUGGUGAUUUAUGUUGGUUUUUUAGACCUUUUGCACCCAUUUCAACUCAGGUUCCUCUCACUGGUGAGCCUCAGCACUGAUUAGGUCCUGUAAUAAUAUGUGUACUUUUUACAACACAUUGCAAAUUAUAUUGUAUUGAUUUUUUUUUUGUGAUAAAACUGGAACCACACUCAUGUCUCUCUUAAAUUAUAAGUAAAAAUUUAACCUGUGUGCUUAGUAAUAACUUCCUGGGGUGAAACUCGCGUUGAAACUCGCGUUGUCACCUCCUUUAGCUCCUAGCUCCUCUUGCCACAAAUCCUUAAUUUCUAAAUCAUAUUUUAAAUUUCUGAAAGUGCUACUUUGCCCUCAAUCGAAAACAAAUGCCAUACUCCAUACACUUUAAAAGGUUUUCUUCGUGUAGCUUAAGAAUUAGAGGUUCAUGCCAGAUUUUAACUUCUUCAUGUGAUCACACUGUUUUAAGUCGGUGUUAAAGUGACGCCACUGAAUUAAACUAUUUAGAUGCUUUCUUUUAAAGUGAAGUAAACAUACAGUGAUGCAUUCAGUAGUAGUCACAUAGUUGUGGUGUCUGUGUGCUGAGUCACAUCUGUGGUUAAGAAAUGACCUUCCUCAUUAUUACCAACUUAUUUUUCAAAACAGCCACAGGAGAGGUCAGAGUCCUGACCUGGAUUCCUCUGUGGUUUCCUUUUUUGUUUUCACAGACUGAAGAAAAAUUCAACCAAAGGGAUCCAAGAGGCACCAAUAUUGACUUUUUAUUAUGUGAACCCACAUAAACAUAGUUAUAUAGUGAAACUGUAAAAGUCAAAGAUGAAGGGAAGUUAAUCAGGAAGUUGAAGAUGUCAGUAUACUGCAGGUCCGGAAUAACGUCCUCUCCCACUGUUUCCAGACUCGUAAAAAGCACGCCGAGGGCAUUAUAAAGAUCAGAUAAAUUCACUCUGUCAAGUUUUGUGAUAUAUUGGUAGAUCUCUGUGGAUUUACACUCUCACAUAAAAAAAACUUUCAUUCACUGGCAUCUUUUUAUUGAUGUAACACAGCAUAUUAAUCAUAAUAUUGAUUAGAAUAUGAAUGAAUUACAUUUGGGUUAUAAUAUUAACACUCACAAUUAUUGCUAAUGCUCAUUCAACAACCAUCGCACUUUGUGCUUUAUGAUGUGCCGUGUUCACGGACCUGGAUAAGGGACAGAAAACGAGGUCAAUAACCACUGUUUCACAGCAAAGACAAAAGUAAACAAUAAUUGCAAUGAAUAUAAGAGGCAGCUCACUAGAAGUGAUGACCCAGCAUUCAGGAGCAAAUUUUUUUGUCACUACAGUAAAUUAAAAAUGGUAAAUUAUUUGGUCAUUAAAAUGCUUGGAGGCCCCAGAGGGGCAGGCUAACUGCUGACUGCAAUACAGCGACUUACUGUAAUUCACUUUUAACCUGUCAUUAGGUUGUUUGAAGAGCAGCUCAGUCGGACUUCAAGUUUCAAGUUACAGACUUGACCUGAACUGUGUGCAUUUGUUCACUGUGACUAACUUCAAAGCUGGCCAACUUGGGGAAUUGUCUGACAGUUGCUCAUAUAUUUCACCUGGGCCUUCCUCUCUCAGCCAACUGCUACCACCGUCUUCGUGCUUCUGCCCACAGAUUGAUGCCAUGCGUGCAAUAUGUCCAACACUUAAUGACUUCCACACCUCACAGCUUACUUGUGCUGCCUCUAGUUUUCAAGCUUGCGUGUGUAACUUGCAGUGUUGUAAUGCAAGAAAAAGUAAAAAAACACUUUGUUACUGUACAUAGGUACAAAAUUCACGUGUCUGUACUUACCUAUGUUAUUUAUAUUUCUAGCAACUUUUUCUUUUACUCCACUACAUUUCCCAUAACUGGCUUUGUUACUCGUUUCUGCCAAAUAAAAUCAGUCAGAGAGGAGUUGGUAAUGGUCUGUAUUUAUAUAGUGCUUUUCUAGUCUUGAUGAACUGACA